rnacentral:rRNA from 1 species
UACAUAGGGUGCAAGCGUUGUCCGGAAUUAUUGGGCGUAAAGAGCUCGUAGGUCGUUUGUUACGUCGGAUGUGAAAACCUGAGGCUCAACCUCAGGCCUGCAUUCGAUACGGGCAAACUAGAGUUUGGUAGGGGAGACUGGAAUUCCUGGUGUAGCGGUGGAAUGCGCAGAUAUCAGGAGGGACACCAAUGGCGAAGGCAGGUCUCUGGGCCAAUACUGACACUGAGGAGCGAAAGUCUGGGGAGCGAACAGG